UCCAAUUUAAACCGAAUUUAUUUAUUCAAGUCCUAUAAGGCUGAUCAAGAGGAUAAAAUUUUGGAAAUAAUAGAGGGUAGCAAAAUGGACGAUGAAGAGAUGGAAACUACAUUCGAUGGUGAAAUGAAGGAUGAACCACUUAAUAAUGAUACGCCUCCUGCGACUGAAUCACAAUCUAAGGAAAACCUUGUUGAAAUGAAAUGAUGUAAAAAGUUAAUGUAAUGUGAAGUGUCUUGUGAUAUUUAAAAGUAUUUAUAUCUGUAAAUUACUUUAGAAUAUGUUAUGUAACAGUAUUUAUAGUAAAAAAUAAAUAUUUCAAAUGUU
rnacentral:lncRNA from 1 species